rnacentral:rRNA from 1 species
UACGAAGGGGGCGAGCGUUGUUCGGAAUUACUGGGCGUAAAGGGCGCGCAGGCGGCCUUAGAAGUCAGAUGUGGAAGCCCCGGGCUCAACCUGGGAAUGGCAUUUGAUACUCUGAGGCUGGAGUACGGGAGAGGAGAGUGGAAUUCCCAGUGUAGAGGUGAAAUUCGUAGAUAUUGGGAAGAACACCGGUGGCGAAGGCGGCUCUCUGGACCGUAACUGACGCUGAUGCGCGAAAGCGUGGGGAGCAAACAGG